AUUGAACGCUGGCGGCAUGCCUUACACAUGCAAGUCGAACGGUAACGGGCCUUCGGGUGCCGACGAGUGGCGAACGGGUGAGUAAUACACCGGAACGUGCCCGAUCGUGGGGGAUAACGAGGCGAAAGCUUUGCUAAUAUCGCAUACGAUCUACGGAUGAGAGCAGGGGACCGCAAGGCCUUGCGCGGACGGAGCGGCCGAUGGCGGAUUAGGUAGUUGGUGGGAUAAAAGCUUACCAAGCCGACGAUCUGUAGCUGGUCUGAGAGGAUGAUCAGCCACACUGGAACUGAGACACGGCCCAGACUCCUACGGGAGGCAGCAGUGGGGAAUUUUGGACAAUGGGCGCAAGCCUGAUCCAGCCAUGCCGCGUGCAGGAUGAAGGCCUUCGGGUUGUAAACUGCUUUUGUACGGAACGAAAAGCCUUCUUUUAAUACAGGAGGGUCAUGACGGUACCGUAAGAAUAAGCACCGGCUAACUACGUG
rnacentral:rRNA from 1 species